rnacentral:rRNA from 1 species
UGGGGAAUAUUGCACAAUGGGCGCAAGCCUGAUGCAGCCAUGCCGCGUGUAUGAAGAAGGCCUUCGGGUUGUAAAGUACUUUCAGCGGGGAGGAAGGGAGUAAAGUUAAUACCUUUGCCCAUUGACGUUACCCGCAGAAGAAGCACCGGCUAACUCCGUGCCAGCAGCCGCGGUAAUACGGAGGGUGCAAGCGUUAAUCGGAAUUACUGGGCGUAAAGCGCACGCAGGCGGUUUGUUAAGUCAGAUGUGAAAUCCCCGGGCUCAACCUGGGAACUGCAUCUGAUACUGGCAAGCUUGAGUCUCGUAGAGGGGGGUAGAAUUCCAGGUGUAGCGGUGAAAUGCGUAGAGAUCUGGAGGAAUAACGGUGGCGAAGGCGGCCCCCUGGACGAAGACUGACGCUCAGGUGCGAAAGCGUGGGGAGCAAACAGG